GUCGAGGGGUAUUGGGUUUUCGGACCCGAGAGACCGGCGCACGGGUGCGUAACGCGUAUGUAACCUGCCUUACACCGGGGGAUAGCCUUCCGAAAGGGAGAUUAAUACCGCAUAAUAUUAUAUAGCCUCCUGGCAUUAUAAUUAAAACUUCGGUGGUGUAAGAUGGACAUGCGUAUGAUUAGCUAGUUGGCGGGGUAACGGCCCACCAAGGCGACGAUCAUUAGGGGUUCUGAGAGGAAGGUCCCCCACACUGGUACUGAGACACGGACCAGACUCCUACGGGAGGCAGCAGUGAGGAAUAUUGGUCAAUGGACGGAAGUCUGAACCAGCCAUGUCGCGUGCAGGAUGACUGCCCUAUGGGUUGUAAACUGCUUUUGUAUGGGAAGAAAGUGGGGUACGUGUACCCCUUUGCCGGUACCAUACGAAUAAGGAUCGGCUAACUCCGUGCCAGCAGCCGCGGUAAUACGGAGGAUCCGAGCGUUAUCCGGAUUUAUUGGGUUUAAAGGGUGCGUAGGCUGGGAAUUAAGUCAGUGGUGAAAGUUUGCGGCUCAACCGUAAAAUUGCCGUUGAUACUGGUUCUCUUGAGUACAUUUGAGGCAGGCGGAAUGUGGUGUGUAGCGGUGAAAUGCAUA
rnacentral:rRNA from 1 species